UACGUAGGGUGCGAGCGUUGCCCGGAUUUAUUGGGCGUAAAGGGCGCGUAGGCGGCCACGCACGUCCGUUGUGAAAUCGCCCGGCUCAACUGGGCGGGGUCAGCGGGAUACGGUGUGGCUCGAGCAAGCUAGGGGGCAAUGGAAUUCCCGGUGUAGUGGUGGAAUGCGUAGAUAUCGGGAGGAACACCAGUGGCGAAGGCGGUUGCCCUGGAGCU
rnacentral:rRNA from 1 species